GUUUGAAGUUGCAUACUAACAUCUGCUUGACUGUUUCAGGUGCUUUAGUUGCUUAGUUCCUUGUGAACUUUUUGCUUUGCUUUGCUUGUAUAAGCAAUUUGCAUUGAGGUACAUUCCCGAGCUUGUCUACUGAUAGAGAUGGCAACGGUUCCCGAGCCGAAGCGGAAGACCUGUUCCUACAGUUUCCACCGUGAGCCGUUGACUCCACUAGUUGAGUUGGGUAGUCUCGUGACAGACGAUCGACUGAAGAGUUUUGUUGGGCGGAUUAUCAGUUGGCGCCUACUCUCGAGGAGUACUCUAUUCUGUUGAGUGUUCCUAUCCAGCAUCAGGUUCCUUUCUUGGAUGUGCCCAAGGAGGUUGAUUUCAGAGUUGUUGCCAGAGCUCUCCAUUUGGGUAUCAAGGAAGUCAGUGAUAGUUGGAAGUCCAGUGGGGAUGUCGUAGGAUUGCCUUUGAAGUUUCUGUUGAGGGUAGCUAGAUGUGAAGCCGAGAAGGGGAAUUGGGAAGUUUUUCAUGCACAGCUUGCCACCAUGAUCUAUGGGAUUGUCCUAUUUCCCAGUAUGCCGAAUUUUGUUGACCAUGCAGCUAUCAGUAUCUUCAUUGGAGGGAAUCCAGUCCCUACCCUGUUAGCAGACACUUACUAUGCUAUUCACAGUAGGCAUGGUAAGGGUGGAGCCAUCAGGUGCUGUCUACCUCUUCUGUUCAAAUGGUUCA